rnacentral:lncRNA from 1 species
UGGAUGUAUAUUUAUUUAAAGAUGAAGGUUGCAAAGGAAUGAAGACAUAUAUUAUAUAAGAUCUCGCAAUUUCAAUAUAUAAAUUAUAUUUACAAAACAAAACAUUACGGAAAAAAAAAACUUUAAUUGAAGUUAUACUUUAAGUUCAAAGAUAAAAAGACACUCUAUAUGGCAUUUGAUAUUUUGUAAAAAAAUGAUUUUUAAUCAUUUUUCAACUGAAUUAAUAUCAAGAACUAAAAUAUAAUAUAAAAUCAUAGAUAAAUAUCUAGGGAGAUAACGUGAGUCAAACAGAGAAUGGUUUUUAAAGAGAGCUUCUACUUCAUCCCAAAACCAACAGAAAACAGCAAAUUCUAUGGCUACGGAGGAAGAGAAAGGAAAAUGUUAGAAAUUAAAAGAACAAUAAUCAUAACACAAAUUAAAGUUGAAAUAGUACAAGAUUUAAGCACAAAGGGCUAAAAUUAUAUCAAAGAGAAUUGAUGCACCUGUAUAGCUCGUUUUUCCCCUUGGAAUUUGGGUUUAAGAUCCCCAUUGGUCUCCAAAACCCCAGCAACAUUUUCCUUGUCAUUGCCAUUGCCAUUUCCAGCAUAAUUAGAAAAGCUGUUGUUUAAGUGUAGACGGAGUGCUAAUCAUCAUAUUUUCUCCCACUAAACAAAGUCAGACUGGGAAUACCACUGUGUCUAUCCCUAUAAAGAAUAUUAAAUGUGUAUGAAAGGACCAAUUUACCUCCUCCACAAAUCAACAACAGCAACAUUGGACUUCUGGUGUUGGAACUUGGAACCCUAGUAUAAUUUACACAACAUAAUUCACAACCUGAAAGCAUUAGGAUUCAACUCACAUAUUUGAUUCUCAAUAAGAAUGAAAACUAAUGAACUCUAUUUUAUUACUUCAGUAGAUAAUAUUUCAUCCUGCAUUCCUUAUAAUAUUUCUGGUUUAACACAAUGAAGAAAAUAGAUAAAAUAGAACCUACUUUUUUCCUCUAUAACAUUACAGCAAGAACCGAUAGCCAUAAUUGUAAACAAGAAUACAGAAAACCAAGUUCUAGUUAAUAAACAACUUCUAUGGAUCUAGCGAAAGAAUGGUUUCACAGUGACAAGAGAAAAGAGGAAAGAGGAAAGUUUUUGUCAACUAAAGUUGGAGAAUCUUUUUGUUCCAUCGAACUAUAAGAAAACAGAAACAAUAAAACACCAGUCUGCCGCGGGAUUUCAUGGCACUACCGCCCCUAUCACCACCUCUUCCACCACCUCCUCUUCCUCUCCCUCUUCCACCAUCACCUCUGCCCCUAAACCCACCACCACCACGGC